AACCCUGCCGCGCAGGCGCGCUGAUCUAGCCAAUCGGGACGGGCAUCCCGCGCGUGCGGCAGCCAAUCAUAGAGACUGAAAGAAGAUGCGCUCGGGCGCAGCCAAUCACAGAGGGCCUGGAGCCCGCUCGUUAGCGGAGGGGGUGGGAGAGGGACGACGACGCGCGACCAACCGCCGCUGCCGGGGGGAGGGGAAGGAGGGUUGGAGAGGAGGGAGCGCGCGCGGGUUGCGCGGGCGGCAGAGGCCUAGUUGGAGAGGCGGCCUCUGGCCUGGGUGGGGCCCCGACUCCAGGGCCCUAAGGAAAACUUUGUUCAGUCGGAAGUCAGGGCUCCUCCCAUUCUGGCAGUCUUAACUAACCCCGUGCCUGGAGACUGCAGCGUGAAUGACCCGAGGAAGGCCAGGCCUGGCGGGAGAAACCGGGACCAACGCCUCUAGUCAGCAGACCGCCCCGGGACUGUGCAGGGCGUCCGCUGGUCCUCAGGCGUCUACCCCAGGAGUCCUGGUGCCUUUAACUCAGUCUUUGCAGGCACAUUCCCCCGGGUAGACACUGCAGACAGCGAAAAAUUAGAGCCGGUCCCUGCCGUGAUGGAAUUUUCAGUCGAAAAAUAAGGAAAUGACUCUUGGAUCUUUGACGUUUUCCACGAUUAAAACAUUUACAAAAUGGAAAAUUAAAAUAAUCCUUGAAGAGGCAAAAAUUGAGCCUCACAAAAGAAAGAAAAAGUUUUAAACCAACAGAUUUAAGUAUGUAAAGAUUUGUACAUGGCAGAAGACACCAAAAACAAAGUCAUGUGACAAAUUCGCAAAUAUUCUUCACAUGUUCAUUCAACAUACUGCAUGGAACACCUGCCAUGUAGACAGCAUCAAUGAUAUAGGAGUUAAUGUUUGGAUCUGAACCCGAAGGCUUAUAUGUGGAAGUCUUGGUCCCCAAUAUAGCACUGUUAAAAGUUCUCGGGGGACACAACAUCUUUGUUGGUAUGUGGUGCUGAGGAUCGAACCUGGGCGGCACGCAAGCCAGGCAAGCCCGCUACUGCUUAAACCACAUCCCCAGCCCGAAGUGACUGGAUUAUGAGGACUUCAAUCACAUCAAUGGAUUAAUCCAUCUGAUUUGUACCUGAAUGGGCUACUAGGAGGUGGUGAAAACUGUAAGAGGUGGGACCUAUUUAAAGAUGUAGGUUUUUGUCUGCCAUCUCCACAAUUGAUACUCCCCCUGCACCCUCAACCAUCUCCCCAUCCCUACCUUUUCUGUGGCCAUGGGGAUGAGCCACUCUGCUCCACUAUGCUCUUUCCCCCAUGAUGCUUUCCCUUACUAUAGACCCAAAGCAAUGGAGCCAAACAACCAUGGACUGAAAUCUCUAUAAUCUUGAGCCAAAAUAAAUAUUUCCUUAAUUAA